AUACGGAGGGUGCAAGCGUUAUUCGGAAUCACUGGGCGUAAAGGACGCGUAGGCGGGUUGGCAAGUCAGAUGUGAAAUCCUACAGCUUAACUGUAGAACUGCAUUUGAAACUGCUAACCUAGAGUAUGGGAGGGGGAGAUGGAAUUAGUGGUGUAGGGGUAAAAUCCGUAGAUAUCACUAGGAAUACCGAAAGCGAGGGCGAUCUCCUGGAACAUAACUGACGCUAAGGCGUGAAAGCGUGGGGAGCAAACAGGAUUAGAAACCCUUGUAGUCC
rnacentral:rRNA from 1 species